rnacentral:rRNA from 1 species
AGCGUUGUCCGGAUUCAUUGGGCGUAAAGAGCGUGUAGGCGGCCGCACAGGUCCGUUGUGAAAACUGGAGGCUUAACCUUCAGACGUCGAUGGAAACCGUGCGGCUAGAGUCCGGAAGAGGAGAAUGGAAUUCCUGGUGUAGCGGUGAAAUGCGCAGAUAUCAGGAAGAACACCCGUGGCUAAGGCGGUUCUCUAGUACGGUACUGACGCUGAGACGCGAAAGCGUGGGGAGCGAACAGG